GGAGGUGACUGGCGGCUCCUGGAUGGAUCCCUUUCUAGAUUUGAUUCAUCGGAGUAUGAUUGGAAGGCAGACCGGGACCUAAGGGAAGGAUAGCGUAUGUCACCUAUCAGAUCUAGCUUUACAAGAAUAUUUGGUCUUUAAUGCUGAGGUGGUGCCUAUACAUUGGGUGCUUGAGAAAGCUAUGGAUUUGGUCGAGGAGUAUUGACGUUUCGACGCUGCUAUCUUAUCCUGCAACACCCUCGAGUCCUAAGACUCCCACGCUGCUCCUGCAACGAGCC
rnacentral:lncRNA from 1 species